rnacentral:rRNA from 1 species
AGUGAACGCUGGCGGUAGGCCUAACACAUGCAAGUCGAACGGCGGCACAGUAAGAGCUUGCUCUUACGGGUGGCGAGUGGCGGACGGGUGAGGAAUACAUCGGAAUCUACUUUUUCGUGGGGGAUAACGUAGGGAAACUUACGCUAAUACCGCAUACGACCUACGGGUGAAAGCAGGGGAUCUUCGGACCUUGCGCGAUUGAAUGAGCCGAUGUCGGAUUAGCUAGUUGGCGGGGUAAAGGCCCACCAAGGCGACGAUCCGUAGCUGGUCUGAGAGGAUGAUCAGCCACACUGGAACUGAGACACGGUCCAGACUCCUACGGGAGGCAGCAGUGGGGAAUAUUGGACAAUGGGCGCAAGCCUGAUCCAGCCAUACCGCGUGGGUGAAGAAGGCUUUCGGGUUGUAAAGCCCUUUUGUUGGGAAAGAAAAGCAGCAGGUUAAUACCCCGCUGUUCUGACGGUACCCAAAGAAUAAGCACCGGCUAACUUCGUG